rnacentral:rRNA from 1 species
AAAUUGAAGAGUUUGAUCAUGGCUCAGAUUGAACGCUGGCGGCAGGCCUAACACAUGCAAGUCGAACGGUAACAGGAAGCAGCUUGCUGCUUCGCUGACGAGUGGCGGACGGGUGAGUAAUGUCUGGGAAACUGCCUGAUGGAGGGGGAUAACUACUGGAAACGGUAGCUAAUACCGCAUAACGUCGCAAGACCAAAGAGGGGGACCUUCGGACCUCUUGCCAUCA